GAUUCCUGCUUCAAUCCUCACUUUGUCACUUAUGGUGUAAUUUUAGAGGAAAACCUAUCUUCUAAGAGUGAAUGGAGAUUACUUCAUUUUAAAAUCCUUUUUUUUAUAGAUUAUAAUCAAAGAAAGCUGCAGUCAAUAUGUCAUGGGUCCCCAAAAGGAUGAAAAAUGUGUAUCUCAAACCUUCAAGGAGGUAGAGUUGCAAGUAGAGCAGUGAGUUUCCACAAGAUGAGUUUUAUCUGUUACACAGUGUUGAGAACAGAACCGUCUUCCACAGAACAUUGUGCUUGGGAAAAAAAAACCAACCAGGGAGAGCAGCAAUGGAACAUAAUUUUUGCAAACAGUGUAUAAGACAGCCAAAGAAAUUAAGGCUUGAAUGGAAAAGUAAAUGGAACCCUUCGAGAGAUGAACAUUUUGAGAGCCAUGGGGAAUUCUGCACUUUCGCUGGUGUCCUCACAGGUGGGUUUGAAGGUCAUUUACCACAUGCUUCUCCUUACUUACAGUGUUUGAAUACUGUUAUGUUUAAUGUCAGUCAAGAGGUAAAAAUGAGGUAUGGGA
rnacentral:lncRNA from 1 species